UAGGGAAUAUUGGACAAUGGGUGAGAGCCUGAUCCAGCCAUGCCGCGUGCAGGAAGAAGGCGUUAUGCGUUGUAAACUGCUUUUUGCCAGGGGAUAAAAAGACUCUGCGGAGUUUAUUGAAGGUACCUGGUGAAUAAGCCACGGCUAACUACGUGCCAGCAGCCGCGGUAAUACGUAGGUGGCAAGCGUUGUCCGGAUUUAUUGGGUUUAAAGGGUGCGUAGGCGGCCCUGUAAGUCAGUGCUGAAAUAUCCCGGCUUAACCGGGAGGGUGGCAUUGAUACUGCAGGGCUUGAGUACAGAUGAAGUAGGCGGAAUUGACGGUGUAGCGGUGAAAUGCAUAGAUAUCGUCAAGAACACCGAUAGCGAAGGCAGCUUACUAAGCUGUAACUGACGCUGAGGCACGAAAGUGUGGGGAUCAAACAGGAUUAGAUACCCGGGUAGUCCCUGAGCGGGCUGGCAAGGCGCAU
rnacentral:rRNA from 1 species